GAAGGUAUAGCUCAAGUGGUAGAGCACAUGCUUAGCAUGCACAAGGUCCUGAGUUCAAUCCCCAGUACCUCCA
rnacentral:tRNA from 1 species